rnacentral:rRNA from 1 species
CCUACGGGAGGCAGCAGUGAGGAAUAUUGGUCAAUGGACGAGAGUCUGAACCAGCCAAGUAGCGUGAAGGAUGACUGCCCUAUGGGUUGUAAACUUCUUUUAUAUGGGAAUAAAACGUUCCACGUGUGGGAUUUUGUAUGUACCAUAUGACUAAGGAUCGGCUAACGCCGUGCGAGCAGCCGCGGUAAUACGGAGGAUGCGAGCGUUAUCCGGAUUUAUUGGGUUUAAAUGGUGCGCAGGCGGAAGACAAAGUCAGCGGUAAAAUUGAGGGGGUCAACCUCUACGAGCAGUUGAAACUGGUUUUCUUGAGUGAGUGAGAGGUAUGCGGAAUGCGUGGUGUAGCGGUGAAAUGCAUAGAUAUCACGCAGAACUCCGAUUGCGAAGGCAGCAUACCGGCGCUCAACUGACGCUGAGGCGCGAAAGUGUGGGUAGCGAACAGGAUUAGAUACCCGUGUAGUC